CGUGAGCCUGUGUUCCAACAUCCUGCUCUCUCUCAACUUGACCUUUGUGUCUUUGUUUCUUACAAAACAGCAAUAAUUCCCAGAUGGUCUGAUAUCAGAUAUAAUCACAGCACCACACCACCUGCUUAAGAUGCGGCAGCUCAGCCCCACCUAACAGACCACAGAAAACAUGUGUGCUUACCUUCCACGCUAGAAAGGAGGCUCCCUGGCCAGCCUCCCCUGACCAAGCCAACCCCACAGCCAGCUGCUGGGCUGGACUAUAAAGUGGAGAGAAGGGGAAAAAAGAAAAAGGAAACCAUUUCUGCUUCUCUUCACUGAUCUCCUAACCUCUCACCUCCUAACACCCCCAGCCAGCCGAGGCUUCGACUUCAGAGGCCUCAGUUCCCUGUUUUCUCUGGGCAGAGAGGAGCAGGGGUGGCAGGGGUUAGCUAAUGGCCUCUCUGGAAUUCAGGGGUUAAGCCUAAGGGAGGAAUUUAGUCGGAGAUGCCCCAGAGGAUGGAGUAGAGAUGGUAAAAAAAGCAGCUAGGGUCCCGUGGAUUCUAGAAGGCUGGGAGGACAUUCAAGGACAUCCUCAAAUAGUGGAGACUUGUGCCUUUCUGAGCAGGGCUGUGGGGCUGAGUUGGGCCUGGCAGUUAGGCCUCUAGAAUUGCCCUGUUGGAGUGAGGGCCUCAGGGCAGCAGUUGGGCUGAAACCCUGAGAGUCAGAGCAAGGAGGGUGCUCCAGCUAUUCACACGGCUGUGUGCAUAAAAAUGAGAAAAUAUUUUGUAUAACAAAGAACAGGAGAUGCUGACUUCUGGGAGGAAGAUCUAAAGUUUCCUCAAAACUUCCACCAUGACCAUGACCAGGACCACCGCCCAAACUUGGCAGAUGACUAAAUCUCUACCUGUGUGACUGAAAACAUGGGCAAAGGCACCCACAGCAGAACCGGCAGGAAAAUGUGGUCCAACGGAAAGGAUGAAGACAUUUCAAUGAUAAUUUAUAUCAGCGAUUUCACCAGCGAGGCC